UGAGGAAUAUUGGACAAUGGGCGGGAGCCUGAUCCAGCCAUGCCGCGUGCAGGAAGACUGCCCUAUGGGUUGUAAACUGCUUUUUUACGGGAAGAAACACCCCCACGUGUGGGGGCUUGACGGUACCGUACGAAUAAGGACCGGCUAACUCCGUGCCAGCAGCCGCGGUAAUACGGAGGGUCCGAGCGUUAUCCGGAAUCAUUGGGUUUAAAGGGUCCGUAGGCGGGCGUCUAAGUCAGUGGUGAAAUCUCGCGGCUCAACCGUGAAAUUGCCAUUGAUACUGGUCGCCUUGAAUUAGUGUGAAGUGGCUAGAAUAUGUAGUGUAGCGGUGAAAUGCUUAGAUAUUACAUAGAAUACCGAUUGCGAAGGCAGGUCACUAACACUAUAUUGACGCUGAUGGACGAAAGCGUGGGGAGCGAACAGGAUUAGAUACCCUGGUAGUCCACGCCGUAAACGAUGGAUACUAGCUGUCCGGCCUGCAUUGGUAGGCUGGGUGGCCAAGCGAAAGUGAUAAGUAUCCCACCUGGGGAGUACGUUCGCAAGAAUG
rnacentral:rRNA from 1 species